rnacentral:rRNA from 1 species
AUACGGAGGAUGCAAGCGUUAUCCGGAUUUAUUGGGUUUAAAGGGUGCGUAGGCGGAUGAUUAAGCGUGAGGUGAAAUGCCACUGCUCAACAGUGGAACUGCCUCGCGAACUGGUUGUCUUGAAUGCUCCUGCCGUGGGAGGAAUGUGUGGUGUAGCGGUGAAAUGCAUAGAGAUCACACAGAACACCGAUUGCGAAGGCAUCUCACGAAGGGGUGAUUGACGCUGAGGCACGAAGGCGUGGGGAUCAAACAGGAUUAGAUACCCUGGUAGUCCACGCAGUAAACGAUGAUUACUAGCUGUUUGCGAUACAAUGUAAGCGGCUGAGCGAAAGCGUUAAGUAAUCCACCUGGGGAGUACGUUCGCAAGAAUGAAACUCAAAGGAAUUGGCGGGG